UAUGCUGUAUACAAUCCAUAACACUUACGAUGACAUUGAAAAUAAAGUCGUUGCCGAUCUAGGAUGUGGUUGUGGAGUACUUAGCAUCGGAAGUGCAAUGUUAGGAGCAGGGUUGUGUGUUGGAUUUGACAUAGAUGAAGAUGCACUGGAAAUAUUUAACAGGAAUGUGGAAGAGUUUGAGUUAACAAAUAUUGACAUGAUUCAAUGUGAUGUGUGCUUAUUAUCUAAUAGAAUGUCUAAGUCUUUUGAUACAGUAAUUAUGAAUCCUCCCUUUGGGACCAAAAAUAAUAAAGGGACAGAUAUGACUUUUCUAAAGACUGCUCUGGAAAUGGCAAGAACAGCAGUAUAUUCUUUACACAAAUCCUCAACUAGAGAAAGCUUCGAUAUGACCUGCCGGCAUCAUACAAGUUUCACAAAAAGAAAUCAGUGGACAUUGAAGUGGACCUAAUUCGGUUUUCCUUUUAAAAGCCCCCACAAACAAAAGUAGUUUAAAACCUAUUUAAAAUGAAUAAAAAAUUGGUUUA